UGCUUUAUAAACGCCCUGAUACACCUUCCCUCAGAUGCAAGUAACUAGUAAAUAUAACCAAACCUUAGUGAAUAAAUAUUACUGAUUUGCAAACCAUUUAAAGUGUUUAACUACUUUGUGUGGGUGAUCAACAGUGGACAAUCAAACUUAACAGCUUCUUCAACUGAAAGACAUGGAUGACAUCCAAGUUUUACCAAAAGCACCCCUGCUUGUUGACAGGGAAUUGCCAGGGUUGAGAGCAGCUUUGCGCAACUUGUGAUAAAGGAGCACGAUGUAGAGACUCCCCAUGGAAGGAUCCACUGCACCAUGAAGGGGAUACCCAAAGGAGACCGGCCCGUCAUCCUCACCUUCCAUGACAUUGGACUGAACCACAAGACGUGCUUUGACUCCAUGUUCCAGCAUGAGGACAUGCAGGAGAUCAUGCAGCACUUUGCUGUGUGCCACGUCGAUGCCCCUGGGCAGCACGAGGGGGCCAACACUUUCUCUACUGGGUACGAGUACCCCUCCAUGGAUCAGCUGUCUGAGUCUCUCCCCCUGGUCCUCAAGCAUUUUGGCCUGAAAAGCAUAAUUGGAAUAGCCGUCGGAGCUGGAGCCUACAUCCUGGCGAGAUUCGCUCUGGACUACCCAGCAUUGGUGGAAGGCCUGGUUCUGAUCAACAUCAACCAUUGUGCUGAGGGGUGGAUGGACUGGGCUGCAAACAAGGUCACUGCUUUGCCUGAAAUGCUCAUCGGCCAUCUCUUCGGAAAGGAGGAAAUAUCCAACAACCAUGACCUUAUCGCCACCUACCGCCAUCACAUCAUGAACGACAUGAACCAGUACAACCUGCACCACUUUGUCAAAGCUUACAACAGCCGGCGGGAUCUGGAGAUUGAGAGGCCCAUUCCUGGUGGGAAAAUCUCCGUCAGAACCCUGAAGUGUCCUUCUCUGUUGGUGGUAGGAGACAGCUCUCCGGCUGUUGACGCUGUGGUAGAGUGCAAUACUAAGCUGGACCCGACAAAGACCACACUGCUCAAGAUGGCAGAUUGCGGAGGCCUGCCCAUGGUUGACCAGCCUGCAAAGCUGACAGAGGCCUUCAAGUACUUCAUUCAGGGAAUGGGCUACAUGCCCGCCGCCAGCAUGACCAGACUGGUCCGCUCUCGCACUGCAUCCGGCUCCAGCAUCCACUCCAUGGAUGGCAACAGGAGCCGGUCUCACACAAACGAGGGAAACAGGAGCCGGUCACACACCAACGAGAAGCGUGGCCGCUCCCACACGGACAGUAUGGAAGGCACAGCAAACAGCAGCACUGCGCUCAAGUCCACCGAAGUGUCCUGCUAGAUGACCCUUAUAUGACACUCAACCUUUAACCUCUGCACCCUGGUUCCUGCUGCGCUGCCACUAACCACACCUACAAACACACAUACACAACUAGAGAAUGUCUCUAUGCCAAAGAGUUAUGCGAAGAGGUUGUGUGUGUAAGGCUAUGCAAGCAUAUACUACUGCAUUAUGAAGGAAAUUCCUUAGAGGGAAAAACGUAUUCUGAAAUAAACAGAUCCCUUCCCAUCUGCCGCGUCAGGUGGAAUAUCUAGUUGUUAGUGGCAACGCAGCAGAGUGACACAGCGCAACGGAGAAUGUGGGAGAAAGCUGUGGCUGCAGAACCAGUACUUAGUACAGCAGCUUGUCAUCAAGACCGUUUUUUUUUUGUGUCUAUAGUUCUUUAUUACAUGACACAGCUUUCUCAAAUGUGUACCUGACUAUAAAUGACUUUCUAAUUGUUCAUCGUAAACUUUUCAAUAUUCUGAUUAAUGUACUGUGGGAUACAGGAGAGAAGUGGUGUAAGAAUAGGUAGGCAAGUGGAUCAAAAAUAAAUAUAUAUGCAGUCUUUUUUAUUUUCUCAAAUUGCUAUUAGUCUUUGAAACUUUGGAAAGGAGGGAAUUGAAAAGUAUCAUGUACAUACAACACAUUCCUGUAAUGAUUCCUCUCUUUUAGGACGUCUGUUUCGUCUGGAGUUAACAUUCUUCUGGAUCUAUUAUAGAGCAUUUCAUGAGGUUAUCCUUUCAUUGAUCAAACAAUCACAUACUGUUGCUUUAUUAACAGAUCAUGGCUUCAGGCACAAUUGUUCUUUUGGAUAUUUCUUCUUGUGUAAAUGGUUAUUUCUAUGCAAUCCCGGCAAACAGAGAUAAUGUGCCAUGGAAACCCUCUGACUUACUAAGACUUCUUUGUUCUGAUGGAUUUGAGAAAGUCAAGCCGAUCCACAUGAUGUGAUGUAAAGGUCCGAGUUAGCCAUAGAGCUUCUCAAAAACCCUCUCCCACUCUUUUGUGCGCUACAGCAACACUUGCCGGCUAUGUAGAACAUCGCUUUAUGAAGAUGCAUAACUGCCUAAUGCUGUAGAUGAGAAGCAUUAAAUAUAGCAUAACAAUUUGUAUUUAUUAAAAACCUAUAACUUUU